CCUUCUGGCGAUCUAGACAAAACAAGUCCACCGUGGGCUUUGAAAAACGCUUUCCUUGAUAAAAUUUAAGCGUUUUAUAAGAGGAUGCCGGGGAAGGUUUUCCGGUUUAUCCCGGAGGGCUUGUAGCUCAGUUGGUUAGAGCGCGCGCUUGAUAAGCGUGAGGUCGGAGGUUCAAGUCCUCCCAGGCCCACCAGUUUAUCCAUUACUUUCAUAAGUGCUUUUAAAAAAUAAGUACUUCUAAAAAGAUUGCUUCUAAAAAGCUUAUCAAAAUUGGCAGGCUUAUUGCUUUUGUGUGAGUAAUCCAAAGUUAAAGCAAAUUAAUGGCAAAAAAACAGUUCAAAUGCUAAAUACUAAGGAGUCAAAAUUCCUUGCAAAGUGAUUUUUACAGCGUCCAUUUGGUUGAUAUAAAUUCCAAAUGCUCAUAGACGUCAAUGCCUAUAUGAAACUAUCGGUUCAAUCAUAUCGCUUUGAGUUAUAUAGAUUUUGUAAUCCCUCUUUUGAUCGUUUUAAACGCUUUAUUCUGAUUUAGGGGCCGUAGCUCAGCUGGGAGAGCACCUGCUUUGCAAGCAGGGGGUCGUCG
rnacentral:misc_RNA from 1 species